CGCCCUUUGGGGUGAGGUAGUAGGUUGUAUAGUUUGGGGCCCUGCCCUGCUGUGGAUAACUAUACAAUCUACUGUCUUUCCUGAAGUGGCCG
ensembl:miRNA